rnacentral:rRNA from 1 species
UACAGAGGGUGCAAGCGUUAAUCGGAUUUACUGGGCGUAAAGCGUGAGUAGGUGGCUUCGUAAGUCGGUUGUGAAAUCCCUGGGCUUAACCUGGGAAUUGCAUCCGAUACUGCGGAGCUAGAGUUCGGUAGAGGACGGCGGAAUUCCCGGUGUAGCGGUGAAAUGCGUAGAUAUCGGGAGGAACAUCGAUGGCGAAGGCAACCGUCUGGGCCUGAACUGACACUGAGACACGAAAGCGUGGGUAGCAAACAGG